rnacentral:rRNA from 1 species
GAAUUCGCCCUUAGAGUUUGAUCCUGGCUCAGGACGAACGCUGGCGGCGCGCCUAACACAUGCAAGUCGAACGAGCGAGAGAGAGCUUGCUUUCUCGAGCGAGUGGCGAACGGGUGAGUAACGCGUGAGGAACCUGCCUCAAAGAGGGGGACAACAGUUGGAAACGACUGCUAAUACCGCAUAAGCCCACGGCUCGGCAUCGAGCAGAGGGAAAAGGAGCAAUCCGCUUUGAGAUGGCCUCGCGUCCGAUUAGCUAGUUGGUGAGGUAAUGGCCCACCAAGGCGACGAUCGGUAGCCGGACUGAGAGGUUGAACGGCCACAUUGGGACUGAGACACGGCCCAGACUCCUACGGGAGGCAGCAGUGGGGAAUAUUGCACAAUGGGGGAAACCCUGAUGCAGCGACGCCGCGUGGAGGAAGAAGGUCUUCGGAUUGUAAACUCCUGUUGUUGAGGAAGAUAAUGACGGUACUCAACAAGGAAGUGACGGCUAACUACGUGCCAGCAGCCGCGGUAAAACGUAGGUCACAAGCGUUGUCCGGAAUUACUGGGUGUAAAGGGAGCGCAGGCGGGAAGACAAGUUGGAAGUGAAAUCUAUGGGCUCAACCCAUAAACUGCUUUCAAAACUGUUUUUCUUGAGUAGUGCAGAGGUAGGCGGAAUUCCCGGUGUAGCGGUGGAAUGCGUAGAUAUCGGGAGGAACACCAGUGGCGAAGGCGGCCUACUGGGCACCAACUGACGCUGAGGCUCGAAAGUGUGGGUAGCAAACAGGAUUAGAUACCCUGGUAGUCCACACCGUAAACGAUGAUUACUAGGUGUUGGAGGAUUGACCCCUUCAGUGCCGCAGUUAACACAAUAAGUAAUCCACCUGGGGAGUGCGACCGCAAGGUUGAAACUCAAAGGAAUUGACGGGGGCCCGCACAAGCAGUGGAGUAUGUGGUUUAAUUCGACGCAACGCGAAGAACCUUACCAAGUCUUGACAUCCUGCGACGCACAUAGAAAUAUGUGUUUCCUUCGGGACGCAGAGACAGGUGGUGCAUGGUUGUCGUCAGCUCGUGUCGUGAGAUGUUGGGUUAAGUCCCGCAACGAGCGCAACCCUUACUGUCAGUUACUACGCGAGAGGACUCUGGCAGGACUGCCGUUGACAAAACGGAGGAAGGUGGGGAUGACGUCAAAUCAUCAUGCCCUUUAUGACUUGGGCUACACACGUACUACAAUGGCGUUAAACAAAGAGAAGCAAGACCGCGAGGUGGAGCAAAACUCAGAAACAACGUCCCAGUUCGGACUGCAGGCUGCAACUCGCCUGCACGAAGUCGGAAUUGCUAGUAAUCGUGGAUCAGCAUGCCACGGUGAAUACGUUCCCGGGCCUUGCACUCACCGCCCGUCA